UCCCUCAUCGCUUAGUUGGUAAAGAAUCUGCCUGCAAGGCAGGAGACCCGGGUUCAAUCCCUGGGUUGGGAA
rfam:Ovis aries breed Texel chromosome 12, whole genome shotgun sequence.